AACCGCCGGAUGCGGGCCCGCAUGUCCGGUGGUGUGAGAGGAGGGUCGGGCGACCCGACCCUCCUACUCGAU
rnacentral:misc_RNA from 1 species